GACAGAGGGGGCAAGCGUUGCUCGGAAUCACUGGGCGUAAAGGGCUCGUAGGCGGCCAACUAAGUCAGACGUGAAAUCCCUCGGCUUAACCGGGGAACUGCGUCUGAUACUGGUUGGCUUGAAUCCGGGAGAGGGAUGUGGAAUUCCAGGUGUAGCGGUGAAAUGCGUAGAUAUCUGGAGGAACACCGGUGGCGAAGGCGGCAUCCUGGACCGGUAUUGACGCUGAGGAGCGAAAGCCAGGGGAGCAAACGGG
rnacentral:rRNA from 1 species